rnacentral:rRNA from 1 species
AGGACGAACGCUGGCGGCGUGCUUAAUACAUGCAAGUCGAACGAGGUUCACUUCGGUGGGCCUAGUGGCGAACGGGUGAGUAACACGUGAGCAACCUGCCCCGAAGACCGGGAUAACAGUGGGAAACCGCUGCUAAUACUGGAUACCCCCAACGGACCCCAUGGUCUGAUGAGGAAAUGGAUUCCGCUUCGGGAGGGGCUCGCGGCCUAUCAGCUUGUUGGUGGGGUAACGCCUACCAAGGCUUCGACGGGUA